rnacentral:rRNA from 1 species
UACGAAGGGGGCUAGCGUUGCUCGGAAUCACUGGGCGUAAAGCGCACGUAGGCGGAUUGUUAAGUCAGGGGUGAAAUCCUGGAGCUCAACUCCAGAACUGCCUUUGAUACUGGCGAUCUCGAGUCCGGGAGAGGUGAGUGGAACUGCAAGUGUAGAGGUGAAAUUCGUAGAUAUUCGCAAGAACACCAGUGGCGAAGGCGGCUCACUGGCCCGGUACUGACGCUGAGGUGCGAAAGCGUGGGGAGCAAACAGG